AGGAAAUAUGCAAUCCAUUGGAUAAUAAGACAGAAUUGGAUAAUAAAUGGAAAUGAAGAUGGAUCCAAUGAAGGAGACUGACAAGCAGCGGUCAUGAGUUGGGGGAGGGUGGUCUGAGAGUACAGAACCCCAGAAGCUGAGUUAUGACACGUUCCAUGGACGGAGUGGUUAUUUGUGUUAAACACCACUGAGAGGGGAACAGAACAAAGACAGAGAAUUGACAGUUGAGAGUUUCAGGUUCUGCAGUAAGCACCAGGUUUGCUAACCGCAAGGAAAUGGUCAGGCUGAAACAGUGAUGAGGAAUGUUGAGGAUGUUCUGCAGGAGAUUGAUAGAGACUCUUAACAACUUUGACUUCUCAGUUUUCCUUUAACUUAAUAUUUCGCCUUAUAUUCAGCAAGAAAAAAUCAACGGAAAUAUUAGGACUUGAGAAAGGAUUGCAAAGAGCUUACAAGGGUUCCUUCCACAUGCAAAGUAGUAUGAAUUAAAGAUUGUGCAAAAGAAGAAAAAUGAAGCUCCAAGUAAAUGAGGGACUGAGUAGGAGCCAGCCUAAGUUCCUUGGAUUGAGUUCUUCAAUGUGGAGUUCUUCAUCCAUGGCAAG